rnacentral:rRNA from 1 species
UACAGAGGUGGCAAGCGUUGUUCGGAAUUACUGGGCGUAAAGGGCGCGUAGGCGGUCUUGCAAGUCCUGUGUGAAAUCCCUCGGCUCAACUGAGGAACUGCACAGGAAACUGCUUGGCUUGAGUUCGGGAGAGGGAAGCGGAAUUCCGGGUGUAGCGGUGAAAUGCGUAGAUAUCCGGAGGAACACCGGUGGCGAAGGCGGGUUGCUGGGCUGAUACUGACGCUGAGGCGCGAAAGCGUGGGGAGCAAACAGG